rnacentral:rRNA from 1 species
UACGGAGGGGGCUAGCGUUGUUCGGAAUUACUGGGCGUAAAGCGCACGUAGGCGGAUUUGUAAGUCAGGGGUGAAAUCCCGGGGCUCAACCUCGGAACUGCCUUUGAUACUGCAAAUCUCGAGUCCGGAAGAGGUGAGUGGAAUUCCUAGUGUAGAGGUGAAAUUCGUAGAUAUUAGGAAGAACACCAGUGGCGAAGGCGGCUCUCUGGACCGAUACUGACGCUGAGGCGCGAAAGCGUGGGGAGCAAACAGG